UUGAGUAUUUUCGAAGCUUGU
rnacentral:piRNA from 1 species